rnacentral:lncRNA from 1 species
UUUUUCGGAAAAUGUAUUACCAAUUCAGUUUUUUUUAAUCUUUUUGAAACAAUUGUAGUUUUUUUAACAACUUAAGCUUGACGGCUCAUUUCAUAUACAUGCUUGAGAUAGAGUACAAGUUAUUUAAAAGAUAAACAAACUAUUAACAAGUUGAACCUAGUCCGAGCUAUGACUCUCCUAAAAUAAACCGACUCAAGCUUCAGCAUCAUUUCAAGUUUUCAGCGGCUUGGCUGAAGCUCUAUUGUAACCCUAAUUUUGAGAGAGAUAUAGGUAGUUUAAGGAUUAUCAUGAUGAUCUUGCUUCUUGAUAUGGGAUCACAUAAGGAAUCUAGUUAAAUGAUUCUAAGGGUGAACUUUAACUUCAUGAUAGAAUUGCUGUUUCUCGACCUAUGUAACCAAGAUUCGAGACAUUGAAAAUUGAAACCUCCUUACUUGCAGGGUAAGGCUGGUUACAUUGACCCUCACCAAGCCCUACAUUGUUAAAACACUCAUGCAUUGGGUGUCACUCCUUAGUCAAAUAUGGUUUUUCCCUACCUCCCUGUAGCAACCAUCAUUCCUAGAUCAAAGAGUUGAUAAGUAUUAAAAGAUCAUAAUUAAUUAGUUAAAUAUAUACUGGAGUCUUAUAGAAGUCAAGCAAGUGCUAAUCCAAUUUUUAUUUCCAAAAAAGGUCACUAUAAUGUGAACAGAAAGAUUAUAAUGGCUUCAUGUGCAUGAAAAGGCUGCUUUAAGUAGCUUGGCACUAGCUUUAAUUUUUUGUGCACUUUUCAUUUCUAAAUGCCUUUUUUCUUUUUUAAACCUUCAUUUAUAACCCCAAACUUUUCUAUUUGUGCUUGUCCAUUACGUAAAGUUAUUUUCUAUUUCAUAAUGUUUUUUGUGACUGUAGUAAAAUGUAAAUUAGAAUAAGAAAACAUAACUGAGCCACUACAACAUCCAAUAUGGUGUCAAGCAAUAAGUACUGCAUAUGAUCUUAUUUUUCUUAUUGUUAUUGCUAAUUUUCCCCACACCCCAACAUAUAGUGGAUUUUACUUAUUUUAAUUUCAAAAUAGAGCAUCUCCUUCGAAGGCUGCUAAAAUUUUCUUUUUUUCUUGAGCUAUAAAUAAAAUAAAAGAAUACCGUAGUGAAUCCAAGACGAUAAUUUCCCUCCUAUAGUAUUAUUAGUCUCACAUGUUGUACAAGAAUAAUAUAACAAUAACAAAACCAUAAGAUCCAACUAUUUGGGGUCAGUUACAUGGAUCUUUUGUCUGCACUAUGAUCUGUAAAAAGUCAUAUGUUUAAUUAAGUUCAGAGUACUUAAAUCUUUAUUUAUAAUUUCUAUUAAAGUUUUUUUAGGUCAUCCUCUACCUCUUCUAGUACCAUUAAGAUUAAUCAUUUCAUAUUUUCUGACUAUCGCAUUCGGAAACCUCCUAAACAUAUGCCCAUAUAAUUUUAAACUAUUUUCUCUCAUCUUAUUCUCUAACGAAACAAUAUAUAGUUAUUCACGAAUAAAAUUUUUUUUUUCCUAUAUUUCCUAGGAACUCCACACAUCCAUCUUAACAUUGUUAUCUCGACAACAUAAUUUUUUUAUAUUUUUUUUUAACUGCCCAACACCCAGAUCUAUAAAGUAUUGUUGAUUCAUAACUAUCUUAUAAAAUUUUUCUUUUAAUCUCAAAAAUCUCCGAUGAUCACACAAGACUCCUGAAAUUUAAUCUAGAGUAAGAUAGUCAGAUAGAACUCAUAAAAAUAUCUUAAAAAGAGUCCAAUCUAAUAUCUAGUUGAUAGUAAAUAGUAAGCUUGAUCAGAUUAAAGAACAUAUGAACAAAUGAAAUAGAUGAUAAAUAAGCAAGAGAAAAUUGAAUAGGUCCACAUUUUGCAUCAAUGUCAAUGAUCAAUCAGUCACUGACUAAAUAACAUAAAAAAAUAAUUUUUAACAUUUCUUUUCAAGAAAAUACAAAUAUAAGAAUUAAUUAUUGAAGGUCCUAAAGUCAAGGUUAAAUAACAAAAUGAUGAUGAAAAGAAAAUCAGCUAUCGCCCACACGUUACCAAAACGAAAACAGAUUUUAGAGUUGAUAAAACUAACUUAGCAAUGACUGAUGAAGGAAUUUCACAAGAGUGAUUAAUGGUGCCAAAUUUACACAGUUCUACAAGAUGGUCAAGAUUAUCACCCAAUUUGGUGGGAUACAAUCAUCAAUCUUAAUAUCAGAGUUGAUCAAACUAAAGGAAUAGUUUCAAUCAACCUAUCAGAUUCUAGAAUCUUUCUUGAAAUACUUAAAAAAGGGCAUAUCCAAUGCACGAGGCUCUCGCCAAUAUGGGAUCCGGAGAGGAUCAAUGUACUAAGUCUUAUCUUAAAAUAUUUAAAUAUACUAUUUUCGUGACUCGAUCCUUGGUCUUCCAGGUUGCAAAGGAAUAAUCUUAUCGUUGUACAAAGGCUCGCCAUGCACGCACACUUCCGUCUAUAUAAAUAUCUUUCACUGCUCAAUUAUGUAAUAAUAUCCAUCUUUUCCUCUAACAUUCUGGGUCAUAUAGUCAUAUGUUAUUACUUUUCCCAACAAAUUGUAUUAUCUUGUACCAUGAACGAAUUCAGAUACUGAGUUAUUACCAAAUAGUUGGUCUCGUUCUGCAGCUAAUCAGGGGCAUCUAUAGGCAACAAAAUUCCGCCACAAUUAUCAAUAAAAAAUAAUGUGGCAACUCCGGCAAGCUGUUCACCCACUAUACCCAAAAGAUCCACAGGGCAUCAGUCCAAUCAUCCCAUCAAUCAUCAAAAAUCAUAUAAAUUUAUCACACGUGACGAAAACCGACGAACAGCAGACAACAUAAUCUAACAAAUCUCAAACGGAUUUCACGUCGAAGGGAGGGGGAAGAAGAAUACUCUAAGAAACAAGAAAGGAAGGUGGAGAUGGAGAUCGUCCGAUCAGAAUAACUUAAUGAAUCGGAAAGAUGAAACGACCAAACAGCUUUCUGCAGCAAUCAUCAAAGAGCAACAUGUUUCUUGAUCUACUGCACAUGGAAUAAAAGGUGCAAUUUUUAAUUUCUGAUCAGUGGGGAGAGAGCGAGCGAGGGGAUGCUUACCUUGCAGAGGCGUGCGAAAAGCUUUCGAGCGAGCGUCACUGAUGUGCGAGAGCGAGAGAUGGGGAAGGAACGAAGGGGAUCCAGAGAGAGAGAGAGAGAGACGUGGGUGGGGAUCCGGAAAAGGAAGGGCCGCCACGAGACGAUUGUAACCCAUUUGCGUACAUCGACGGUGAUUCACGGAACCACUCAAGAAACGAUUUAAGCCACCCUUCUGGAAACGCGACACGUCUUCCGACUCGUGCCUUUGGUCGUGGGUUUUGGUGGACCAGACAUGCAACAUUUAUUGGGACUUCUCUUGUUUGCAUGAACUAAGGUUCGUUGACGCCAAGUCAAAUGUGUAAACGCGUAAUGGUUCGAUGGAGACGAAUAGGAAACUUAAGUCAAUUACAUGAGAUAAGGGCCAAUUCUAUAGUAGGGUCAAGGUGGUUAUUUUGGUAAAUUAUUUGAAACAGAGACAGUGCAGCAGAAGGUGAGGUAAUAACAUUUUUAAUUCAUCUUCAGUUUUUGUAGUAUUUUGUUUAAAUGAUAUUGGAUGGUAUAUAUCAUGAUACCAUUAGUAAUAUCAAUCAAGAUUUAUAACUGUGAUUUGAUAUAGUAUGAACAAUAUUUAUGGUAUCUAAGAGAUUUUGAUAUAUAAAACAAGGUAACAUGACCUAUAUACGUUGGAUACAGGACAUGUAUCACUUCCUAUAUUGAUUGUUUAUUUUUUAUCUUUUUAAUUUUUUAGUUUUUUUUCGAGACUCUGAUAUGUACCAAUGUAUCAACAUUUGAUGUACACAAACUUAUGAAUCAUAAUAUAAACUUUCUGUCAAUCUAAUUUAUUACGAAUAUCACUAUUAUAACACUAAUAAUUAUAUAGACAAAAGUACUUGAAAAUCUAAAUUGAAUGCUUGGUCUUUAUUGCUUCUUUUGGUUUCCAAUACAGCUUCAUGAAGAAUACUCAAACUAAAUUUCCAUCUUAAAGGUGUACCCAAAUCUCAUAAUAACAUUUUAAAAUAACUACUAUGAUGUGGCAUGGGAAAGGUUGAAAGAAUACAGACACAUUGCAAGACAAUUGGCUACUUGUAGCCUUCAUCACUGUUCUAAAAUCGAACCCAACAUCUAGUGCACUGAGCCAUGCAGUCUCCCUUACAAUCCACAUUGUAGCCCAAAACUUUAGGAUUCCUAAUAAGAAGAUUACGAAGAGCUUGCCCUUUGAUUCCCCAAUCCUUCUCCAGCAUGUCAAUGUUAGUCUGCACUUCAUCAACUAGACUGCAUCCAAGCACCUCAGGAAACUUCUUCAGUAUUUUGUAUAGGUCCUCAUCAUUAAGGCCCAAACCUUUGAUGUAAUCCAACAUCUCAUUUACCUUUUGUACCUUUGGAACUUCCUUGCUUCUUUCUUCCCCCCAAUAGGGUGAAUGAACCCAGCCAAAUGCCUUUUUGAGAAUGGAGUCUGCUUCCUCAAUCGAAAAUUUUAAUGUGGAGAGUAUUUCUGUGCACGUCUCCCAUGUUUUCUUCUGUUCGUCUUCUAAUAGAACUGCUUGUACCUGUUCAACUGAGUGUAUCCUCCACUUUUUCGAAGUGCAACUUAAAUUACAACUGUUGUUUCGGCUUGCACUCAUUCGAACAAUGGGCCUGAAUCCACAUGAUGAUUUACAUAUAGGCAGCACCAAAUUUGGUAUUGGAAUUGAAGUAUCCAACUGGAAAAAAGCAAAUUUAUGACAGUCAAAAUAUCAUAUAUGUAACAGAUUUGAUUAAACACUAGUAAUAUGAUAAGUGGUACAAUUGGUACACAGAUAAAUUAAUAUAUCAGACACUUUGUUUUGAGUCUUUUGACUGCCAUGCAUGUCUCAAACAAAUGCCCAAAGUUAAUCUUCUGGAUAGCAGGACUCAGAUGAGGGAGGAAAAUAGAUCUUAUACAACGAUGCAAACUCAUUUUAGUUUAAUUAAUUUAUAGCAUAAACUGUCAUAAGUGAUUUUCUACUUGUUGUUAUGGUUUAAAUCACAGAAAUAUCGUUUCUACUUGUAAGGAAGGUUGAGUAUGUUGAUCCUCCCUAGGUGUAAUAUCGGUAGAGAUGAUGCAUAUACAUUAACUCUCCUCAGAUGCAUAUUGGCAGAAAACUCAUUCACUAGGUUUGUCCUAUUUAAUUAUUGAUAAAUUUCUCUCUCUACGAUAUGCAACAACGAGGCAAAAGUUAAUAUCAAAUGAGAAGGAAGUCGUAAAAAAGGAUGUACCAAGAGAGAGCAGGAUGCUGAGUAUUCAUGGGUCGGUAAAGUCACUGCUGAUGAUCGCCCCAACAUUCCUAAACAAACAGACAAGUGAACGUUGAGAAAAAUGAUAAAGAAAGCAAUAACAAGGAAAAAUAGAUAGGUUUCGUUGGAAAAUAACUACAAGGGAAGAGCUAAAAGACCUGCACUCCAACAACAAUUGACUGUCCAGAAAUUAAAAUUUUAAUCUUAAUCAAAACCCAGAAAAGCACAAUACAAGGGGUUAAAUACAAUCUCCUAUUUGUUAGCAGUCAUAGCUUUUAACAUAUCAUAACCAAAUUAGAAAAACCAGAUAUUUCAGUAACUCUAUCACGAGUUGCAUUUCACUGUAUGUCGUAAAUAUACAUAUAUGCCUGAGAUCCCAGAAAAACACAUAACAAGAGUUAAACUCAAUCGCCUAUUUCCUUGCAGAGUUGUAGUUUCUAUCAUAACCAAAUUGCAAAAAGCAGAUAUUCCAAUAACUCUAUCACAAGCUCCAUCUCACAGUGCACAAACACACAUAUACACAUCAGAUUGUAUGCAUGUAUAAUUGGUUAUCUACAUUUAUAAAAGUAACUUCCUAUUAGGUUUGUUUCUUCAACUCUCAGGUCAUAAAGCUUUUGUCUCCUUUUAAUCUGGUUGAGUUUUCUACAGUAAAGCAAACAUUGUCCAAAAGAAAAGAAGAUAAAAUGACUUCCAUGAAUGGUGAUGGAUGCAUCACCUACGACUACAAAUCAAUCCACAUGAAGGUAAAAAAGACUUCAAGGGAAAUUAAUGUUUUCAUUAUGAGUUUCAUUUCUUCAAAUUUGUGUAUCCUCAGUUGUGUCUUGCUUCAGUCUUUUCCACCUUGUGACCUCCUACUACUCACUUAUGGAGUUUGACAAGAAUAAAUGCUUCGAAACUCCUACAGAAUUACUUUAGAAGAUACCAAAUGUUGUUAAACUAAAUAAUGGGAACUUUUUAAUCUUUAUUGCCUUCAGAUACAUUUUUCCUAUGUACAUAUUAUUUGUAUUGCAGAAAAAUAUAAUCCAUGGUUAACCCCUCUAAUUGUCUCCUUCUGCACAGCCCUUUUGUAUCUUGUUUGCAUCAUUCUAAUUUGUGCUUGAAUUGCUAAAGAAAUAACUCCUACCAUUCACCAAUGGCAACACUCCUAAAUGUAUCUGCCCUUGGUUUAGAGUUUAGACACAAUAUCAAAUGGAAUCUUCAAGGUUGAUGGUUAAUCAACCUGUAUUGACAAAUUUCAAACAGAAUAUCAUCUUCAUAAUUCUUUGAAGGACACAAUAAGCAUUUCUGUGGAAAUAGUAAGUCAGUGUACAAUAAACAUUCUCAGUUAACCGUAGAAUGCUAUUUGGUGCGUCCCACACAGCUUUAUAUAUCUAAAAAGUGUGGGUAAAGUAAAUUGUACAAUUAGCUUCUUACAAUGAAAUGAUGAAAAAGCUAUUUCACAUUGUUAAAAAAGGAAGAAUGUUCCAAUACAUCAAAUGGCGUAUAUGACGCUCACACGUGGAUUCAAACCUGAGACUUAUCACUUGUGCAACAAUGCACUAACCAACCCGGAUGUAUAAACAGAGGCACUCUCAUAUAGUUUAAAACUUUAAAUCACCCCUCCUAAAUAGCAUAACUCUAUUAAUAAAGUUAGAAGUAAGAAUGUGUGGAAAAACAAAGCAUGUUUGUAAGAAGAUAGACUAACGAAAGAAAGAAUGUGAAGUGUAAAGGAAAGAGGAUUCUCCAACAAUAUUCUAAUUUUAAUUUGUAUUAUAAUUCUGCACAAGGUACUUGGGAAAUGACAUCACUGCAUGGAAAUACAAAUGUUUAAAUCGAAUUUACAUCCAACAAAGAACUUGAAACAAAAAUAAAUGCUUAUCUUACUCCUGUAUUCCCUAAAUGAACCUUGAAUAAAUGAUCUAUGGAGCUUUACUUCUUGAUCAAAAUUCUAAAGGUGAACUUUAACUUCAUGAUAGAAUUGUUGUUUCUCGACCUACGUAACCAAGAUUCGAGAGAUUGAAAGUUGAAACCUCCUUGCUUGCAGGGUAAGGCUGGUUACAUUAACGCUCACCAAGCCCUACAUUG